AUUGAACGCUGGCGGCAGGCCUAACACAUGCAAGUCGAGCGGAUGAACGGAGCUUUCUCCUGGAUUCAGCGGCGGACGGGUGAGUAAUUCCUAGGAAUCUGCCUGGUAGUUUGGGCUAACGUCCCUUAACGGGCGCUAAUACCGCAUACGUCCUUAUGUUGAAAGUGGGGGAUCUUCGGACCUCACGCUAUCUGCUGUGCCUAAGUCGUAUUAGCUAGUUGGUUUGGUAAAGGCUUACCAAGGCGACUAUCCGUAACUGGUCUGAGAGGAUGAUCAGUCACACUGGAACUGAGACACGGUCCAGACUCCUACGGGAGGCAGCAGUGGGGAAUAUUGGACAAUGGGCGAAAGCCUGAUCCAGCCACGCCGCGUGUGUGAAGAAGGUCUUCGGAUUGUAAAGCACUUUUAGUUGGGAAGAAGGAAAGUAAGAUAAUACCUUGAUGUUUUGACGUUACCAACAGAAUAAGCACCGGCUAACUUCGUG
rnacentral:rRNA from 1 species